rnacentral:tRNA from 1 species
GGUUUGUGGUUCAGUGGUAGAGCACUCACCUGGCAUGUGUGAGGCACUGGGUUUGAUCCUCAGCACCA